UGUCAACUCUUUUUUAAGAAAGCAUCGCAAGUCAUAUAACAAUCGCUAAUGAGGUAAAUAAUGUUCAAAGGGGAAACAGAAUCAUUGUCGUUUCAGAGCUUGCUGGGCUUCCACACGAUCUGAAAUACCUGGGGAAUAUCUACUUCAGACAACCGUUAAUUGAAUAUGGUUCCGCCUUCAACACCAUAUCUCCGAAUGAAACGCUCGAAAGCUUUAAUCUCCCAGGUGUAAAUACCACCAACAAUUUCUCCUGGACCAGACAUCCCAAAGCAAAAAGCCAAGAAAGUACACCAAUGCCUCUAGUUACCGACGGCUUAGGAAGUCUGGUAUAUCCCCAACUACUCUCACCAAUUUCUACAGAUGCGCUGUAGAAAGCAUUUUAUCAGGAUGCAUCACCGCAUGGUUUGGGAACGGCUCCUAUCCAAGAUCGCAAGAAAUUGCAGAGAGGUAGCCCACACCAUCAAGCAAACCAACCUUGAUUGACUCCAUCCCCGGCAAGGCCACCAGCAUAAUC